rfam:Komagataeibacter medellinensis NBRC 3288 plasmid pGXY050 DNA, complete sequence.
GGGCAGGACAGGUGAAGUAGGCCCACGCUAACGGCGUGACUACUUCACAUAAACCUUAUGCGCACCUGUAGUGCUUAACGGUGUCCUGUCUUGCGGUGCA